UGUUUAGUGAUUGAAGGAGUUAGGAUUCUGGAGAUGAAGUUAUGGAGAAAUUGAUUGAUUAAAAGAAGAUUUGAGUAGUUGGUGAUGAAUAACAAAGGGGUUGGUGUUUUAUUGAAGUUGUGAAGAUGAUUCAGUGAUGAAUUGAAAGUUAGGGUUUCAUGAGAAGAAACUCUGAGAAGAUUAGAAGAUGAAAUUGAUACUCUAGAGGGUUAAUUAGAGAGGGGUGCGACUUGAAUUAGAGAUUAUGGUUGAUGUUGAACAGAAUAUGGAGUUGUUUUGUUAAGAACAUAUGAAUUAGGGUUUUAUCAGAAGGUUUUUUAGGAAUUCGAUUGGUGAUGAACAAGAUGGAAUUAGAGAUGGGUUUGUUAAAUUAAAGAAUUAGGAUGUUGUUUUGUGUUCGAAUCAGAGAAGCUUUGGAUUCGACGAUUUAUUUUAGGGUUUCUGGGAAGCAGUGAAGAGGAUGAAGAUUGAUGAGUACUGGUGGAGUGGAAGGGUUAUACUGAUAAUGGAUUUGAAGGGUUUUGCUGAAUCAAGUUGAAGUGAAGAAGAAAUUGAAUUCUUGUUGCUUUAUUAAUACUGAUUUGAGGUAAUUGUUCUUUUCAAUAAAGAUACUAGUUCAAUUCCAAUAUUGAGAUUUUAAGUUAUGAAUGUUAAUGAGUAUGUGAUAAAACUGAAGUUUAUUGAUUGUGUUGAUGGAUUGAGAUGGAAAUAUAUGUGAUGGUUCAAUAUAAUGAAUGAGACUAAAGUUGCAGUUGUAGGUUAGGUUUGUGUGUUAAAUUGCAGUUGACUUAUAAACAUACUGAUGUUGGUAGUUGGGUUGUUGAAUGAAUGAAGGUGGAAAUGAAGUAGAAUGCUAAGCUUCGGUUUGCAGGUAUAUGCAAUUACAGGGUAGUUGGGGUUCUGGUGGUAUUGAGUGUUGCAGUUGUGUUAGAAAUGAAGUUUGAUUGUGACUCUCAAAUGAGGUCUGGUGGUGAUCCAGGCCUGAGAUGUGUAGUUAGUAAUGAUGGUUAUAGAGAAUGGAUAAUAGCUCCAGUGGAAGCUUGCAACUGCAAUUGCAGUUUCAGAGACAAAUCAGAGUUGCGCAGCGAAAGCGUCGAGGAGUUGAGUCCAUAGUUAGUUAACUUCGGAUAUGUUGUUAUGUUGCAUAUUAUAUUUGUAAACCAAAUGACUAUUGUACAUGUAUCAUUUGAGAGAAGUUCUUGUAUAUAUAUAUUACUUAGCGGGGCUAGUUUUGGGUUAA